rnacentral:rRNA from 1 species
UACAGAGGUUACAAGCGUUAUCCGGAUUUAUUGGGCGUAAAGCGUUUCGUAGGUGAUUUGUUAAGUUGCUCUUCAAAUACCGAGGCUCAACCUCGGGAAGGGGAGUAAGACUGACAGAAUUGAAUAGUGGUGGGGCUUCUGGAACUGGUGGUGUAGUAGUGAAAUACGUUGAUAUCAUCAGGAACUCCAAGGGCGAAGGCAGGAAGCUAACCAUUUAUUGACACUGAGGAACGACAGCUAGGGUAGCGAAAGGG